GACGACGGCUGGCGGCGUGCCUAACACAUGCAAGUCGAGCGAGGUAUUUAUACCUAGCGGCGGACGGGUGAGUAACACGUGGGUAACCUGCCUCAGAGAGGGGAAUAGCCUUCCGAAAGGAAGAUUAAUACCGCAUAAUAUAUACUUUUAGCAUUAUGAGUAUAUCAAAGGAGCAAUCCGCUUUGAGAUGGGCCCGCGGCGCAUUAGCUAGUUGGAGAGGUAACGGCUCACCAAGGCGACGAUGCGUAGCCGACCUGAGAGGGUGAUCGGCCACAUUGGAACUGAGACACGGUCCAGACUCCUACGGGAGGCAGCAGUGGGGAAUAUUGCACAAUGGGGGAAACCCUGAUGCAGCAACGCCGCGUGAAUGAUGAAGGCCUUCGGGUCGUAAAGUUCUUUGAUUGGGGACGAUAAUGACGGUACCCAAAAAACAAGCCACGGCUAACUACGUG
rnacentral:rRNA from 1 species